AAAAGAAAAGGGUGAAAAGAACAAAGUUUUGUCCAUCUUUGUUCAUCAUAGCUGAAAGUUAGAGAAGAGAAAGGAGAGGAGAAAGCUCUUGAGUAUUCGGUCAUUAGGAGGAGGAAAAUUGAAGGAAAUCCCCAACCAUAGUGGGCUUGGAGCUGUGAGGGAAUUCGGAGUGGCCACCCGUUCUGAAAGUUUGAUUUUCUUCUGGUGAACUAGACAUCCUUUUAUUUACGUUUGAAGUUUUUAGGCUUUUAAAUAUAAUAAGGCCGCUUAAUUAUUUUUUAUGGUUUUAAUAUGUAUUACUAAGAUAGGUAAUACUUAUUUUAACUGUUGAAAUUGGAUAGCUUUAGGGCGCGUUUUCAAAAACAACAA